AAAUUGAGUGGGAAUUAUAAUGCAAGUACAUAUAUAUAAAACUGAAAAGAAACAGCCAUGGUAAAAUCGAAAAAAACCCCACUAUCUACAUUAUAUACGUAGUACAUCUUGACCAUACGCACAUACAGGUGUAUGCACAGAUACACACAACACAAAUGUUGAGAUCGACGUAAUAUCCACAGUUAGUAGACUUCCACGUUCCAUUGCUCUCCCUUCUUCAGCUGCUUCUUGUACUCGAACCAGUCAAUUCCUAACAUUGUGCAAGCCAAGCAGCAAAAUUCAGCAUCAUUUGGACAUCAAGACCUUCCACACAAAAAGGUUCAGAAGAUUGUAUACAUACCGUCUUUCUCAGCCAGUGUCACCAUGAUCUCAUCGAUACCCUUCUCCAUGCCUUUCAACCCACACAUGUAGACGUAGGUGUUGUCCUUCUUCAGAAGCUCCCACAGCUCCUCCUUGUAUUCCGCCAUCCGGGUCUGGAUGUACAUCUUCUCUCCCUGAGCGUUGGUCUGCUCUCUGCUGACAGCGUAGUCCACGCGGAAAUUAUUCGGCGCUUUCGUCUUCAUCUUCUCAAACUCCUAAAUAAUGUUUCGCAAAAUGCAGCGCAGCUAUGGAGGUUAAGUAUCACAUGAAAAGGAAAAAGAUUAGCUUGUGAUGAAGUGCUCAUGAAAACAGCAGAGAUCGAUGUACUGACAUCCGGGUAGAGCAGCGAACUGCUCGUUGGAACUCCCAAGAAGAGCCAUGCAAGACCGUUGAACUGCACAAGAAUGUAAUUCAAACUUGUUGCUUCCAUGUUCACCGUGGAUUUUAGUUGGCGAUAUGAAGAUUUUGAUACGUACCUGGUAGUCGUCAUGCUUCUCGAAGAACAUCUUCCACAGGAAUGAGCGGAAUGGAGCAAUACCGGUACCGGUCGCA
rnacentral:lncRNA from 1 species